AGUUUGAAGUAAUUAUUUUAAAUAAGUCCUGCCCAGUGUUUUUUAUAAAUGGCCGCAGUACCCUGACUGUGCAAAGGUAGCAUAAUCAAUUGGCUUUUAAUUAAAGUCUGGAAUGAAUGGAGUUUUGGAGAAAUACUGUCUUAAAACUAUUUAUUUGAAUUUAAUUAUUAGGUGAAAAUACCUAUUUUUAAGAAAAAAGACGAGAAGACCCUUAGAAUUUUCAUAAAUUUAAAUAUUAUUUAAUAUAUUUUUGUUGGGGCGACAAUUAAACAUAUUAAACUUUAAUUUUUUUUCAAAACGAAAUUGUUAUAUAAGAAUAAAUUACCUUAGGGAUAACAGCAUAAUUUUUUUUAAGUUUGUGACCUCGAUGUUGGACUAGGAACUUUAUGGCUAGCAGUCAAAA
rnacentral:rRNA from 1 species